CAAAGGCAUGGUCCCGGCCUUACCAUCAGCUCUAGCCCGAUUUACACAUGCAAGUAUCCGCAGCCCAGUGAAUAUACCCUCAAUCUCCCGCCCGAAGACGAGGAGUAGGCAUCAGGCACACACAUUUUAGCCCAAGACGCCCAGCUAAGCCACACCCCCAAGGGAAUUCAGCAGUGAUAAACAUUAAGCCAUAAGUGAAAACUUGACUCAGUUAGCACUAAGAGGGCCGGUAAAACUCGUGCCAGCCACCGCGGUUAGACGAGAGGCCCUAGUUGAUAAUUUAACGGCGUAAAGGGUGGUUAGGAGUAACAAAUUUUUUAAAGCCAAAUGGCCCCUUGGCCGUCAUACGCAUCUAGGCGUCCGAAGCCCUAUAUACGAAAGUAGCUCUAAUAUAUACCCGACCCCACGAAAGCUAAGAAACAAACUGGGAUUAGAUACCCCACUAUGCUUAGCCGUAAACUUAGACAUUCAAGUACAAUAAAAUGUCCGCCAGGGUACUACGAGCACUAGCUUAAAACCCAAAGGACCUGACGGUGUCUCAGAUCCAUCUAGAGGAGCCUGUUCUAGAACCGAUAACCCCCGUUCAACCUCACCACUUCUAGCUAUAACAGCCUAUAUACCACCGUCGUCAGCUUACCCUGUGAAGGGAAAAAAGUAAGCAAAAUGGGCAAAACCCAGAACGUCAGGUCGAGGUGUAGCGUAUGAAGUGGGAAGAAAUGGGCUACAUUUUCUACCACAGAAUAUUACGAAUAUGCACGAUGAAACAGUGCUUAAAGGAGGAUUUAACAGUAAGAGGGAAAUAGAGUGUCCCCCUGAACCCGGCUCUGAGACGCGUACACACCGCCCGUCACUCUCCCUACUAAAAUGCACCACUAAAUACUUAAUAUAAUAGCAAUAACAAGGGGAGGCAAGUCGUAACACGGUAAGUGUACCGGAAGGUGCACUUGGACCAAACC
rnacentral:ncRNA from 1 species